UACGUAGGCAGCGAGCGUUGUUCGGAAUUAUUGGGCGUAAAGAGUGUGUAGGCGGUGCUCCAAGUCUGUCGUGAAAUCUCCCGGCUUAACCGGGAGGGUGCGGCGGAAACUGGAGUGCUAGAGGGUGGGAGAGGAAAGCGGAAUUCCCGGUGUAGCGGUGAAAUGCGUAGAUAUCUGGAGGAACACCGGUGGCGAAGGCGGCGUCCUGGACCAACACUGACACUGAGGAGCGAAAGCCAGGGGAGCAAACGGG
rnacentral:rRNA from 1 species